GGCGGUGCUGGUCCUGAUGCGAGCGCUGACGUGGACUGUCGAGAAGGGGGGCAGAGCACACUUCCUCCUGGUUCCCCAGAGGAAACAAGCUGUUCCUACUUCUGGAACGAGCUGUGGUAGCGUGGGUUACUUUUAGCUUCUCCUUUUUCUAAAUUGUUCUUUCCUUUAAAAAAUAAAAGUGGUAAGCCUGGCUCCUGGUAGAAGAAUGAAGCAUGUCAUCAUUUUUGUUUAGGAUUUCUGUCAGGUUGGCUCCCCACGAAAUUCAGAAGGAUUACAAACUGAAACUAUUAGAAAAUUGGGAAUGUCAAAUAAAGGCCAUUGAAAUAACCACAGCUAUCAUUGAAGGCCUGUUGGAUGCUGGCCCUGGUCCACGGAAUCAGGCUUUGUGAGAUGAAGCAGGAAGAAGAACAGACAAGAUACAAAACAGGAAGGUGUGUUGCCCCAAAAACGUCACAGGAUCGGAUGACUCGAAAACCUUCACUGAACAUGGGACCUUGACACCAUUCACAUCUGGAUGCGCUGCAAUGGAAGACACGUCAAGUCAUUAUUUAGUAAAUCUCUACUGCAGAAAAGACAUUGUGCUUGAUGCUAUGUGAGACUCACAGUAGUAUAAAAUAGAGCCUUUGUCAUUAUCGAUCUUACCAUCUAAUUAAGGAGCUAAAACAUACACAAGUGAAAAUUAAAUGCUAAAAAAUAAAGUAGAUAAAUGUAUAUAAAACAAUCCUAGUUUUCUAAAACAAAAAAGUAUAGAUGCGUAGCAAGAAACACUCUAAAGAUAGAUUCCAAGUAGAAAACAGUAAUUAUUCUUUAUAAUCUUUUUCUGCAUUUUCUAAAUUUUCUGUAAUAAAUAUGCAUUAUUUUUAUAAUUCAAAAUAAAUAUAUUAUUUUUAAAAAUAAAGGGACUAUAUCAUAGCCUCGU